UUCAGUGCACUCCAGAUGUGUUGUGUUAAAGAUUUUUGUCAUGUUAAUCGUGAUAACAGAUGAACCCCCUAACCCUAACCCUACAUGUUAAUUUUGACAGCACUGGUAAAUCCUUUUUAAUGUUCUUCCGUCAGAUCAUUGAUCAGACUCGACUCCAAAUACGAUACUCAGAAAACUCAAAUGAAAACUAAAGUCAAACCAAUGAGAAAAGGACUUGUGUGUAGAAUGAAACCAUAUGGAAGUCGUCAGGUUUCAAACACUCGAUGAAUCUACUGCACAGUUACAUUCAGGGACCUUUGGCCUCCUGAGAGCAUUAGUUGAUGGUUCAUCACAGUUUUACCGUCCAGUGAGUGAAUUUAUCAGUUUGAUGAAGUCUCAAAGUUUCCUCUGAGCUUCUGCAACAUUAUCACUUCCAUCACUGAUGAAAGAAAGUUCAUAGAAAACAGAAAAUAUAUCUUCAGAAUCUGAGAGUCUAAAUCUUGACAAACUUGAUUCAGAUGAAGUUAUUUGAGCAGAAACUCCUGGAUCUUUAUCCUGUGUUGAUCUAAUCCUUCAUGGUUCCUCCACAGAGUGGACCAGCAGAGCUCAGAGGUUCCCAGUGGUCAGUCUGCCCAGCAGCAUCAAGCACAGCUGGACUCCAUAUUUAUGCUGCUGGAGGACAACAUCAUCACUUUUGUUGAACGAGCUGAAGAAGAUCCAGAAGGUUCUGAGUCCAGUUACCCAGAAUGCUUAGAGAGUCAGAGGGAGGAUGAGGAGGAGAGGAGCAGAGAAGCACUUGUGACAAUCACAGUGAACUUCCUGAGGAGACUGAAGCAGGAGGAGCUGGCUGACCGUCUCUAUUGCAGUAAGAGCAUUUCUGUAAGCGUUUAAGCUGAUUGAUGACUACAACAGUCAUUAAACAACCACUGUUGUCCUACUGGGAGACUUCAACGCUCAUGUGGCCAAUGACAGUGAGCCCUGGAGGGGGUGAUUGGGAGGAACGGCCUCCUGGAUCUGAAUCCGAGUGGUGUUUUGUUUUUGGACUUCUGUGCAAAUCACAGUUUGUCCUUAAUGAACAGCAUGUUUGAACAUAAGGGUCCAUAAGUGCACGUGGCACCAGGACACCACAGGAUGCUGGACAGACCUGGCACAACUAAAUGUGCGUGUGAACGCCUCACAGAGGCCCCGGUCUGCAAGAUCUUCAACAUACACCUCUGGCAGAGCUUCAACUGCAGUCUGAGGGAGACUGGUGCUCUACUUGCACUGUGUAUAGUGCGGGUGGAGCACUGCUGACUUCGACAGAGAAUAUUGUCGGGCGGUGGAAGGAAUACGAAUACUUUGAGGACUUCCUUAAUCCCACUGGCUUCCUCCUCCUGUAGAAGAAGCAGAGUCUGUGGAUGAGGGGACGACUUACCUGUCUCUGAAGGCGAGGUCCCUGAGAGAGAUAAACAACUCCUUGUUGGGUACACUGUAAACCGAAUAAGUUCAGUGAACUCAACAUUUAUGAGGAAACUGAUUACAUAAUAAUUUUUAAGUUAACUUAGUUAAAAACUAUCAGUUCACUGUAACUUAAAAAAUAUGACCUGAAUAAAAUCAAAGAAUUGAACUACCUCCAACCUGUAACUUAGUAUUUAAGUAACUUACAAAGUUUAAUUUCACUAAACUUGUAUAUUUUAUUUUAUUUGAACUUUAUUUCAUUACUUUACUAACUUAAAUAUUCUAACUUAUAUAAACUCUAAAUGGACCUACUAAACCGCACGCUAAGUCUAACCCUUCAUAGACCGGGUCUUUCUGUAAAGAAAAAAAAAGCUGAGACAGAUUUGCAAUUUCAAGUGUAUUUAUAACCACCUGCACAAAACUGUACAUGCUUCUGCAUUUAAACAUGUUUUUAGUGCUUAUUGUACAACUUGUACAGUGAAAAUUUUAAACAAUAUAGUGCUUCAGCCUUUUCUUUGGCUCUCUUUAAAAAAUAAUUCUGGAAACAACAUUAAAAAAAUGUAUCAGCCUGAUGCUGUUAUAAAACUAAUAAAAGGCAUUUUUAUAAACAUUUAAACAAAAUAAAUAGUCUCAGUCUACUCUUUAGCUUUUCCCUUAAACUUCAACAUAAAUAGUAUUUUUAUAACAAAUAAUAUAGUGCAUCAGUUUUUCUCCAGUUGUUCCCUUUUAAAACUUUUAAAAAUAGAAUUUAGGAAACAUUUAGAACAAAAAAAAUAUGUAUGAGCAUUUUCUUACACGUUUUCAUUAUAAGACUAAGUUAAAUAGAAUACACCCACCAUAUA